rnacentral:tRNA from 1 species
ACUAACAACCAAUCACAGUGGCGCAGUGGAAGCGUUCUGGGCCCAUAACCCGAAGGUUCGUGGAUCGAAACCACGCUCUGUUAGUA